UACAGAGGGUGCAAGCGUUGUUCGGAAUUAUUGGGCGUAAAGCGCGUGUAGGCGGCUUUGCAAGUCGGGUGUGAAAGCCCUCAGCUCAACUGAGGAAGUGCGCCCGAAAACUGCAGAGCUUGAGUGCCGGAGAGGGUGGCGGAAUUCCCCAAGUAGAGGUGAAAUUCGUAGAUAUGGGGAGGAACACCGGUGGCGAAAGGCGGCCACCUGGACGGU
rnacentral:rRNA from 1 species